AUUGAACGCUGGCGGCAGGCCUAACACAUGCAAGUCGAACGAGCGGCGGACGGGUGAGUAAUGUAUGGGGAACUGCCCGAUAGAGGGGGAUAACUACUGGAAACGGUGGCUAAUACCGCAUACUAUCGGAUGAACCCAUAUGGGAUUCGCUAGUAGGUGGGGUAAAGGCUCCCCUAGGCGACGAUCCCUAGCUGGUCUGAGAGGAUGAUCAGCCACACGGGGACAUAGAAACGGCCCAGACUCCUACGGGAGGCAGCAGUGGGGAAUAUUGCACAAUGGGCGCAAGCCGGAUGCAGCCAUGCCGCGUGUAUGAAGAAGGCCUUAGGGUUGUAAAGUACUUUCAGCGGGGAGGCGUUACGCGCAGAAGAAGCACCGGCUAACUCCGUGCCAGCCGCCGCGGUAAUAC
rnacentral:rRNA from 1 species